GAGAGAGAAGAGAAGAGGAGAAGAGGAGAAGAGGAGAAGAGAGAAGAGAGGUCUUCCAAACCUUCUACCUCAGUCUCCCAAGUACUGGGACCACUGGCAUAUCAGAGAAGACCUGCCUCGUCCCUGCCACACACUAACUAGCUGGUCCAGAAAUCUUGAGCUCAACAAAUCUUCUUGCCUAAAUCUCUUGAAUAGCUGCAACCAUAGGCCAGUUAAAAGAGUGCUUCUUUGUUGCCCUGGCUGUCUGCUGUCCUGGAGCUAGCUUGAUUGACGAGGUGCCUUGAACUCAAGAGACUCAAGAGAUCCUCUGUCUCCAGAGUGCUAAAGGCGUGAGCCACCACCACCUCCUACUGCUUAUUUUAAAAGUCGUUUCCUGAAAUUAUGCGUGUAUUGUUC